CCUACGGGGGGCAGCAGUGAGGAAUAUUGGUCAAUGGUCGGGAGACUGAACCAGCCAAGCCGCGUGAGGGAGGAAGGUACAGCGUAUUGUAAACCUCUUUUAUCAGGGAACAAAGUCGGGCACGUGUCCCCUGAUGAGUGUACCUGAAGAAAAAGCAUCGGCUAACUCCGUGCCAGCAGCCGCGGUAAUACGGAGGAUGCGAGCGUUAUCCGGAUUUAUUGGGUUUAAAGGGUGCGUAGGCGGGGUGUUAAGUCAGCGGUGAAAGGCCGGGGCUCAACCCCGGCCCCGCCGUUGAAACUGGCAGUCUCGAGUUGAGGAGAGGUAUGCGGAAUGCGCGGUGUAGCGGUGAAAUGCAUAGAUAUCGCGCAGAACUCCGAUUGCGAAGGCAGCAUGCCGGCUCCACACUGACGCUGAGGCACGAAAGCGUGGGUAUCGAACAGGAUUAGAUACCCGAGUAGUC
rnacentral:rRNA from 1 species